rnacentral:tRNA from 1 species
AGGGAUGUAGCUCAGUGGUAGAGCACUUGCCUAACAUGUGCAAGUUCCUGGCCUGGAUUCUAUCCCAGCACUGCAA